rnacentral:rRNA from 1 species
UGCGUAGGCGGUCGGAUAAGUUUGAUGUGAAAUCUCCGGGCUUAACCUUCAGACGUCGAUGGAAACCGUGCGGCUAGAGUCCGGAAGAGGAGAAUGGAAUUCCUGGUGUAGCGGUGAAAUGCGCAGAUAUCAGGAAGAACACCCGUGGCUAAGGCGGUUCUCUAGUACGGUACUGACGCUGAGACGCGAAAGCGUGGGGAGCGAACA